rnacentral:rRNA from 1 species
GGAACUGCGAUAAGGGGACACCGAGUGCCAGCAUCCUAUGUUGGCUGUCCGCAUGUUUAAAUCACAUGUGUUAGCAAGGGCCGGGCAAGACCGGUGCCAGCCGCCGCGGUAACACCGGCGGCCCGAGUGGUGGCCACUAUUAUUGGGUCUAAAGGGUCCGUAGCCGGUUUGGUCAGUCUUCCGGGAAAUCUGACGGCUUAACCGUUAGGCUUUCGGGGGAUACUGCCAGGCUUGGGACCGGGAGAGGUAAGAGGUACUACGGGGGUAGGAGUGAAAUCUUGUAAUCCCCGUGGGACCACCAGUGGCGAAGGCGUCUUACCAGAACGGGUCCGACGGUGAGGGACGAAAGCUGGGGGCACGAACCGGAUUAGAUACCCGGGUAGUCCCAGCUGUAAACUAUGCUCGCUAGGUGUCAGGGACGGUGCGACCGUUUCUGGUGCCGCAGGGAAGCCGUGAAGCGAGCCACCUGGGAAGUACGGUCGCAGGCUGAAACUUAAAGGAAUUGGCG